rnacentral:rRNA from 1 species
AGCGAACGCUGGCGGCAGGCUUAACACAUGCAAGUCGAGCGGGCACUUUCGGGUGUCAGCGGCGGACGGGUGAGUAACGCGUGGGAACGUGCCCUCUGGUUCGGAAUAACUCAGGGAAACUUGAGCUAAUACCGGAUACGCCCUUUUGGGGAAAGGCUUGCUGCCGGAGGAUCGGCCCGCGUCUGAUUAGCUAGUUGGUGAGGUAACGGCUCGCCAAGGCGACGAUCAGUAGCUGGUCUGAGAGGAUGAUCAGCCACACUGGGACUGAGACACGGCCCAGACUCCUACGGGAGGCAGCAGUGGGGAAUAUUGGACAAUGGGCGCAAGCCUGAUCCAGCCAUGCCGCGUGAGUGAUGAAGGCCUUAGGGUGGUAAAGCUCUUUUAUCCGGGACGAUAAUGACGGUACCGGAGGAAUAAGCCCCGGCUAACUUCGU